rnacentral:rRNA from 2 species
GAUGAACGCUGGCGGCGUGCCUAAUACAUGCAAGUCGAGCGAACGGACGAGAAGCUUGCUUCUCUGAUGUUAGCGGCGGACGGGUGAGUAACACGUGGAUAACCUACCUAUAAGACUGGGAUAACUUCGGGAAACCGGAGCUAAUACCGGAUAAUAUUUUGAACCGCAUGGUUCAAAAGUAAAAGACGGUCUUGCUGUCACUUAUAGAUGGAUCCGCGCUGCAUUAGCUAGUUGGUAAGGUAACGGCUUACCAAGGCAACGAUGCAUAGCCGACCUGAGAGGGUGAUCGGCCACACUGGAACUGAGACACGGUCCAGACUCCUACGGGAGGCAGCAGUAGGGAAUCUUCCGCAAUGGGCGAAAGCCUGACGGAGCAACGCCGCGUGAGUGAUGAAGGUCUUCGGAUCGUAAAACUCUGUUAUUAGGGAGGAAUAUAUGUGUAAGUAACUGUGCACAUCUUGACGGUACCUAAUCAGAAAGCCACGGCUAACUACGUGCCAGCAGCCGCGGUAAUACGUAGGUGGCAAGCGUUAUCCGGAAUUAUUGGGCGUAAAGCGCGCGUAGGCGGUUUUUUAAGUCUGAUGUGAAAGCCCACGGCUCAACCGUGGAGGGUCAUUGGAAACUGGAAAACUUGAGUGCAGAAGAGGAAAGUGGAAUUCCAUGUGUAGCGGUGAAAUGCGCAGAGAUAUGGAGGAACACCAGUGGCGAAGGCGACUUUCUGGUCUGUAACUGACGCUGAUGUGCGAAAGCGUGGGGAUCAAACAGGAUUAGAUACCCUGGUAGUCCACGCCGUAAACGAUGAGUGCUAAGUGUUAGGGGGUUUCCGCCCCUUAGUGCUGCAGCUAACGCAUUAAGCACUCCGCCUGGGGAGUACGACCGCAAGGUUGAAACUCAAAGGAAUUGACGGGGACCCGCACAAGCGGUGGAGCAUGUGGUUUAAUUCGAAGCAACGCGAAGAACCUUACCAAAUCUUGACAUCCUUUGACAACUCUAGAGAUAGAGCCUUCCCCUUCGGGGGACAAAGUGACAGGUGGUGCAUGGUUGUCGUCAGCUCGUGUCGUGAGAUGUUGGGUUAAGUCCCGCAACGAGCGCAACCCUUAAGCUUAGUUGCCAUCAUUAAGUUGGGCACUCUAAGUUGACUGCCGGUGACAAACCGGAGGAAGGUGGGGAUGACGUCAAAUCAUCAUGCCCCUUAUGAUUUGGGCUACACACGUGCUACAAUGGACAAUACAAAGGGCAGCGAAACCGCGAGGUCAAGCAAAUCCCAUAAAGUUGUUCUCAGUUCGGAUUGUAGUCUGCAACUCGACUACAUGAAGCUGGAAUCGCUAGUAAUCGUAGAUCAGCAUGCUACGGUGAAUACGUUCCCGGGUCU